UGGAAAAUGAUAGUCAUGUAAAGAAAAAACAUUUACUUAGAUAGAUUAUCUUUCCAUAAGGUUGAGUGAUCUGAUCUGACAAAUGUUUUAAAUGCUACACUCAUGAUCUUAUCAUCCAUCAACUUUGUCUUGCUCACUAUGCUUAAGGUUAGAGAAGAACAAAUACACUUUUGGUUCUGUUGGUGUUUUCCACCAACAGGGCCCAUGCACUUGAUCUCUGCCUUGUCUCUAUGAGCAGGAUACACUUCGAGCAAAAUAUGGAGGAGUUUUCCAACUCCCAGACUCUACCAAGUGAAGGAUCUGGAUCUACGAGCACAAACACACU
rnacentral:lncRNA from 1 species